ensembl:rRNA 5S_rRNA 5S ribosomal RNA
GUCUACGGCCAUGCCAUCCUGAACAAGCCCAAUCCUGUUUGAUCUCAGAAGCUAAGCAGGCUUGGGUCUGGUUAGUACUUGGAUGAGAGACCACAUAAGAAGACCAGGUGCCGUAGGCA